GGCUGCGGUGGAAGGACUUGCCUGAAUCGUCUGAACCUCCGUGCAGGCGCGGACCCAGGCUGUGCAAGCCAGAGAGAUGCCAGAGCACCUGCCCGGGAGCCCUGUCCCUCCUCCGACCCCCCACUCUCUCCACCACCACCUGGAGCGAUCCGUGAGGUCCUCCACUGAGGCUAAGAACACCAUGCCUAUCACUAAGAUCCCUAAGGUCACCCAACCCUUGUGGGUUGAGUGGGAUCGGAAGGCCCAGAAGAAUGGCCUGAGACACGAGGUUUAUGCUGUCAAUGGCGACUGCUAUGUUGGGGAAUGGAAGGACAACAAGAAACACGGAAGAGGAAUCCAGAGAUGGAAAAAGAGUGGAGCUAUCUACCAGGGAGAAUGGAAGUUUGGGAAGAGAGAUGGUUAUGGGAUCCUCAGCCUUCCUGAUCCUGUGAAUAAAUAUAAGAAGGUCUACUCUGGCUGGUGGGCAAACGGCAAAAAAGCUGGCUAUGGUAUCCGGUACUAUGGACCCAACGAAUACUAUGAAGGAGAGUGGAAGAAUGGCCUUCGAAGUGGAUGGGGCCGCAUGUACUAUGCCAAUGGGGACAUCUACGAGGGCCAGUGGAGUGAGGGCCUGAGAGAUGGGGAGGGCAUGCUCCGCCUAAGCAACGGAAACCGCUAUGAAGGUUGUUGGCAAUAUGGGAUGAAGAAUGGGACUGGCCGCUUCUUCCAUCUGGACCACGGGCAGCUCUUUGAGGGCUUCUGGGUAGAUGACGUGCCCAAAUGUGGGACCAUGAUCGACUUUGGUCGAGAUGAAGCCCCUGAGCCCACCAAGUAUCCCAUCCCAGAGAUUGAACUGCUGAAUCCAGAUAAGGUGUUGGAGGAAGCUGUUGCCACGUUCAUCCAGGAGGAAGACUGAAACCAUCGGCCAAACAUUCUGCCAAAGGAAUGGGCAGCUGGACCAGAGAGGGUGGUUGGCCUUUUCUCCCUGGCGGCACAGCAUCUGGGGGUCAUCCGCUUCACCUAAGAUGAGGGAACGGCUCAGAGAGGGCACUUCCUUUGCCAAGGUCACACAGCAAGUUAGCGGCAGAGGACAGAACAGGAGCACCAGGCUCUUGGCGCCCGAUCUGGGGACCCUUGUUCACUGACCAUCAAGAGAUCCACUCCUGCCACCCCUUUUCACUCGAAAGUGCUACACAAAGAGUGUUUUGUGGGAUUUUUUCUUUAAUCUGAGUAAAAAUCUGGCCAUCAAAAUUUCCUAAUA